AACGUGGUUACCGUCUGCUGGCAAUGAAUGGAGCACGUGUUUGCAAUCUGGUAGGUGGAGCAACGAGGCACCUCUCUGUGAUCCCAUCUACUGCCCUCAGCCUGAAGCACCCCCACAUGGUCGAAUUCUGCGAGAUAAUGGUGAAAAAUCUUCUGAGGAGUGGGAGGAAGAGGAAGUAGAGAUGUUGCAACCACUUACAUCGUUUUACAAGACAAAGGGCAAGAAGACCAUAACGAAAAGUAAAAAGACAGCAGCAAAAGGCAAGAAACAGGGAAGAAAGUUUUCAGAAAGAAUUGUUGAAAAAUUGUACCAUGUGGACGAUGAAGUGAAGUGGGACUGUGUUGAAGGCUAUCAGGCUGAGGGACCAACUACUGGCAUAUGCACAACAGAAGGAGUGUGGUCAAAUGGCCCACCCCGCUGCAGGAGAGUGUCUUGUGGCUCCCCUCAUCUCCCAGACUAUGCGAUCA